rnacentral:tRNA from 1 species
CCUGCUUAGUAUAGUGGUUAGUACUCCACGUUGUGGCCGUGGCGACGCUGGUUCGAUUCCAGCAGCAAGGA